AGCGAACGCUGGCGGCAGGCCUAAUACAUGCAAGUCGAGCGCACCUUCGGGUGAGCGGCGGACGGGUGAGUAACGCGUGGGAAUGUGCCCUUUGGUACGGAACAACUGAGGGAAACUUCAGCUAAUACCGUAUGUGCCCUUCGGGGGAAAGAUUUAUCGCCAUUGGAGCAGCCCGCGUUGGAUUAGGUAGUUGGUGAGGUAAAGGCUCACCAAGCCGACGAUCCAUAGCUGGUCNGAGAGGAUGAUCAGCCACACUGGGACUGAGACACGGCCCAGACUCCUACGGGAGGCAGCAGUAGGGAAUCUUGCGCAAUGGGCGAAAGCCUGACGCAGCGACGCCGCGUGAGUGAUGAAGGCCUU
rnacentral:rRNA from 1 species